GUGAAUCAUCAAAUUUUUGAACGCAUAUUGCACUCUUUGGUAUUCCGGAGAGUAUGCCUGUUUGAGGGUAAUUAAAAAGAAUCUUUAACUAAUUUUUUUUGGUUAAAGGAAAUGAGCUCACCGAGUUUAUAGCGGUAGUUUGAAAUAAAUGGUCAAGUUCCAUAUUAGUAGAGAUGCGCAAUAAUAUUAUUUCGCGAAAUCUUCAUUAUGAGAAUUUCAACUUUUGAUGAAUACAAAAUUACUUUGUAUGAGAUAAAUACAAAUAUUUUGAACAUUAUCUUAAAUCAGGUAGGAU
rnacentral:misc_RNA from 1 species